rnacentral:lncRNA from 14 species
GUUUGCUUUCCCAGCACUGGAAACUUGUUUUCAAUGUGCUGCUAUUCUUAAUGUACACGUGAUUGUGUUUUGAAAGCAGACAAUGAAACCACCUAUCAGGGAGCUCUGUUCCCCAAGGGAAGCUCAGGACUUGCUGUGUGUAGCUGGCUUUUACCAUGUAUCCUAAAAGAAGAGAUGACUCUGCUGUCAGGAGACCCCCAAACCAAACACAUUGGUGAUGUGAGCUUGGUGGAUGCUCCUGGCUCAGGUUUAUCUCUUGGACCACAAGUGCUGGAUGAGAGGGGAUGAAGACAUAAAGCCAUGGCACAGUGAGAUGAUGAUCUUCAGGCUUGAUACACAACUUUAGCAAUAAAAGGAAGUGUCUGAUGGCUGGGGAAGCA